rnacentral:siRNA from 1 species
CGAAGUGACCACCAUAUGCUG